AAUAGAUACCCUGGUAGUCCACGCCGUAAACGAUGAGUGCUAAGUGUUAGAGGGUUUCCGCCCUUUAGUGCUGCAGCAAACGCAUUAAGCACUCCGCCUGGGGAGUACGGCCGCAAGGCUGAAACUCAAAGGAAUUGACGGGGGCCCGCACAAGCGGUGGAGCAUGUGGUUUAAUUCGAAGCAACGCGAAGAACCUUACCAGGUCUUGACAUCUCCUGACAACCCUAGAGAUAGGGCGUUCCCCUUCGGGGGACAGGAUGACAGGUGGUGCAUGGUUGUCGUCAGCUCGUGUCGUGAGAUGUUGGGUUAAGUCCCGCAACGAGCGCAACCCUUGAUCUUAGUUGCCAGCAUUCAGUUGGGCACUCUAAGGUGACUGCCGGUGACAAACCGGAGGAAGGUGGGGAUGACGUCAAAUCAUCAUGCCCCUUAUGACCUGGGCUACACACGUGCUACAAUGGAUGGUACAAAGGGCUGCGAGACCGCGAGGUUAAGCGAAUCCCAUAAAACCAUUCUCAGUUCGGAUUGCAGG
rnacentral:rRNA from 1 species